CCUACGGGUGACAGCAGUGGGGAAUAUUGGACAAUGGGCGGAACCCUGAUCCAGCGACGCCGCUUGAGUGAAGAAGUACUUCGGAUUGUAAAGCUCUAUUAUCAGGGCAGAAAAUGACGGUACCUGACUAAUAACCCCCUGCUGACUACGUGCCAGCAGCCGAGGUCAGACGGGGGAUCCAAGCGUUAUCCGGAUUUAUGGUGUUUACAGGUUUCCUAGGCGGUCGGGUAAGUUAGAGGUGAAAUCCCUAGGGUCAACUUCGGAAUUGCUUCUGAUACUGUUCGGCUAGAGGGUAGUUGCGGUAGGCGGAAUGUAUGGUGUAGCGCUGAAAUGCUUAGAGAUCAUACAGAACACCGAUGGCGAAGGCAGCUUACCAAGCUACUUCUGACGUUGAGGCACGAAAGCGUGGGGAGCAAACAGGAUUAGAUACCCUAGUAGUC
rnacentral:rRNA from 1 species